AACUUCUUCAAAGUAUAAGAAGCUCUUGGAAAGAUUAAAGAAAGAAUCUAUUCUUCUUCCGUAAAGAAUUCGUCCUAUAAUUUAUAAACCUAAUCUUUUCAAAAAAGUUCGUAUAGUACUUUUGUGUUUUAUGAGUGAAAGUUUUAACAUAAGAAAGUCAUAUGGUCUAACUAGAAGGGUACAGUUCGUAAAUCCAACAUGAGGUGUGGAGGUUUUGAUCCUUUUGUUCCAGGAGAAAUAGCCUCUCAUCAUAUUGUAGUAGGGACCUUGGCAUAUUGGCGCUAAAUAUUGUUAAGAGCCUCUCACUGUAAAAACAAAAAAGUUUGUGACGCUGAGACAAGCAUCCCGCUCCACCGGAAAUUCCCUCUACCCUUAUCUUACUCCAGCUUGGUAGUUUCUACUACCUGUCCAGAGUUAAGCCCUGGGAUUCGACGGUGGACUUAAAAAGCCAUCUACAGACGCUUUAUGCCCAAUCAUUAUGGAUAACGCUUGCAUCCUUUGUAUUACUGAGGCUAGGUUCAGUUCAUGGAUUAAAACUAGGUUAGGUUACAGAUUAAUAAAUGAUUUUUCUAUUCAAAUCCCAUUCAAAAGUCAAAAGAAAGGGCAGUAUAUAAGAAAAUCAAAUCAUACAGAAAUGAUAGAUGCCUUGAAUGUUCAGAAAAUGCUAUGAGGUGUUUGAAAAUGGUUGUGGUAGUUGAAUAGGAAGAUCACUACAUAUUUCUUCUUAGAACGUAUUGAUUUGACCCCAUUAGCAAUACCAUCACCCCAUAACAUGUUGCUACCAGAGAAGCCCAUAUUUCUUCUAAAGAAUAUCCUAAUUGUUUCCGAGCAACUAGAAAAGAGAUUCUUUAAGCAGGUUUUUUCGAAAAAAUUCAUUUAUUAUAUGGUGAGAAAAAGAUGGCUUUUCCUAGAUGAAAUGAAAAUUGGAUUCAUGUAACAAGAGAAAGGUUUCCCAUUCCUUAGCCGGAAAAAUAUGUGGCCAUGAAACAUGGAUUAAGUGGAAGAGCACGAAUCAAACAAAUAAAAUGGAUCCAUAUAAAAAAAUUGAUGCCAUUCGUUUGAUGAGAAAUAAAAAGGAAUAUAGAAAAAUUCAUAUGGCUGAAGCUGAAGCAACUACUUUCAAUGUAACAGAAAGAAAAGCAACAGCUGGAAUGGGAGAGUAAGAGUGGAAAAGAAGAGUCCACACCUCUUUCUCUCAUUCCAAUAAGAUAAAGUUUGAAAGAAUUGAGAUUUUUUAAAAUUGGAUGCAGUUACUAAGUCAUGAAUCUGGCAUGUCUUGAAAUGAAAAUUAGAUUCAUGUAACAAGAGAAAGGUUUCCCAUUCCUUUGCCGGAAAGAUAUGUGGCCAUGAAACAAGGAUUAAGUGGAACAGAAUUGACUAGGUGGUAGAGUUGUAGAAACAACAAAUGAUAUCCAUUAAGCAGGGGAAAUACUAUUUUAAAAAGCGUAGCGAGAUAUGGAUAAAGAGGCAUCGAAUACAUAUGGUGAGCUACAACAAUGGCUAAAGAUCCUAACAUAGCUGGAUUAAUAGAUAAUUGAGCAUGCCAUGACAUUGUUAGGAGAGACCGUUUCUUAUUUUGUGCCAAAGCAAUUUAUAAAGUAUAGGUUGAAACAGGUGAAAUCAAUGGGCAUUACUUAUACGCUACUGCAAGUACAUGCGAAAAGAUGAUCAAAAGAACUGUAUUUUGCCAAAGAAUUGGAGAAAUUGGUACAAGAAGUUGUGGAUACACUUCUUGAUAAUGGAAUCUGUAGACAACCAAUGAGGGACGGUCAUAAUAAGGUUUACAAGUCAUUUUUCAAAAUGUAACUGAAGGAAAAUAGGGAAGAUUUUUCAUUAUAGCUCUAUUCAGGACAGAACAUGUCAUGCUCUAUCAUAAUUUAUAUUUUCUAUUCAAAAGAAAAAAUUUGAAAAUUUAAGCAUUAGAAUUUCCUGAAAAUUCCUUAAUGGGUAGAAGCUUUAUAGAAUUAUUAUAAAGCUAUGCAAUUAGAAAUUGAUCCGUAUGAUCGAAGUUAUAUACUCUAUAACAUAGGCCCUAUCUACACAAGUAACGGAGAACAUAAGAAAGCUUUAGAAUAUUAUUAGCUAUUGUUGAAGUGUCAUCUAUAAAUGGAUAAGACUUUGGUCUUACUAUAUAUGAGUUCUUGGAAGUAAAGGAGUAAUAAAAAAUUUCUUGUUAUUUCAAGAGAUUUGUUAUUGCUCAUUUACAAGUUAGUUUUAGUAUUUUUUUAGUUAUGACUUAACUAUUUGUUUUAUUUUAUUUUUUUCCUAAUCCUAAAUAGAAUGUAUCUCCUUCAGAAAGGAUUUCUCCAUAAUGUCCAUGAAAUAGUUCCUCCUAGAGUGGCUAAAUAGGGCUUCACCGAUCUUAUUACUACAGAGUCAGUUUGAACAAUUAUAACUUACCCCCAUUUUAGGUGUGAUCCUUUUUGGCUAUACAUAGAUUUUCAACAAAUACAUUGCCCGAUAAGACUAAAAUGAAUACUUACAAAAAAUAUAUGAUCCUUUCGCCAAUGGACCCUAACGCAGAUGAAUCAAAAAAUAUAUGAAGGAUAAACCUAUUUCUCUUGGAUUUAUUAGUCUAAGCAGGAGACAAUAUACGUUAAUGUUAUUGAUUAUUUUUUUAUUUAAAGAAUCAUCUCAUCUCAAUUAAAAAUACAAAUACAUUUUUAGGAAGAAAUCAAACUCCACUUUUGUAUUAUAGAAUUAGCAAUACAUAUUAAACUCUGUUUGGUUUUAUUACAUUACAUUUAUUUCCCUUUAAUUAAAGAUUGUUUAUGUCUAAAAUAGAAAUUAUUUUAUUCAAUCUAUUAUAUUAACAAAAAGAAAAUUUGCCUUUGUUCCGUACCUUUUUUUAUUCUAGUCAAUUGAAUCUGUUGCCCAUUAGAGCCAUCAUUAACCAUUGGUCGUUAAAAGCGUAUUCUCAAAAUACCAAUAUCUACAAUUGUGGCAAUAGGCGCAUGACUUGGUAAUACACCAAAUUUGUCCACUAUUAGUAGAUAAAAUCAUUUCUUUCACUUCCGAAUCCCAACAUGUAACAAGAGAAAGUUUCCCACUACUUAGUCGGAAAGAUAUGUGACCAUGAAACAUGGAUUAAGUGGAACAAAAUUGAUUGGACGGUCGAUUCGUGGAAACACCUAUUUUCUUCCAUAUUUUGGACCUUAGCUCUAUGGAACAAUAUACUAAUUACUGUGUAUUUCAAGUAGGCGAUGACAUUGCUUGUAUUUAUGGUCUCUUGAUGAAGUAAUGGCAGGUGAAUUAGUAAGAAUUUGAAGAGGAUCCCAUGAUCCUGAACCUAUCUUACUUGGGAUCGCAAAUCAAUGUAGGCCCUGAGAAUUUGGAGGCCUUAGGCAAGCCUUUGAAAUAGGGCCUUGGAGUUCUUUGACUCCCGACCCUUGGUACAUUGACAUGUGUAAAAACAAAUCACUAAAGACAUGAAAAGUCUAUUUCUACAUCAAAUAUCAUUAAAAAUUAAUAUCAAAAGAAGAAAGAUAUACAAACAUUACUCAAAUAUUACUUGUCUCACGUUUUUAGAUGCAAAUGCACUUAUUAAGGUUACAUAAUCUAAUUUUUCAACCAAUUCAAACUGAAAGAGAAAUCCCUACCUAGUACGCCAAAUUCCAUUUAUUUUUCUAUUGUUACAAUAUUACUUAUUACAUUUAAUAAAUGAAUGAAUGAUUGGAUUCUAGAGACAACAUCUUACAACUAGGAAAAAUACAAGAGUGAAGAGGAUAGUAAUUUUCGUAUACACGCCUAGGCGGACGAAACGGAAUUGAAUAAUUUAUUAUAUAUUAUAUAAACUAAUUAAUUUGAACAUUAAAUAAUGCCAUUUUUCAAACAGGUGAGAGUUUUAGCCUUUUAGGUACAUAAUAAAGAUAUAUGUGGUGUGAUCUUAAAAUAGGGUAAUAAAACCCCAUAAAAAUAAACAUAAAGGUGAUAGUUA
rnacentral:lncRNA from 1 species